rnacentral:rRNA from 1 species
UGAGGAAUAUUGCGCAAUGGAGGCAACUCUGACGCAGCCAUGCCGCGUGCAGGAAGAAGGCGCUACGCGUUGUAAACUGCUUUUAUCCGGGGAGAAACCCCUCCACGCGUGGAGGGUUGACGGUACCGGAGGAAUAAGCACCGGCUAACUUCGUGCCAGCAGCCGCGGUAAUACGUAGGAUGCGAGCGUUGUCCGGAUUCACUGGGUGUAAAGGGAGCGCAGGCGGGCUUUCAAGUCAGUGGUGAAAUCUCACAGCUCAACUGUGAAAUUGCCGCUGAUACUGUAGGCCUUGAGUACGGAAAAGGGUGAUAGAAUUCAUGGUGUAGCGGUGAAAUGCGUAGAUAUCAUGAAGAAUACCAGUUGCGAAGGCGGUCACCUGGUCCGUUACUGACGCUCAUGCUCGAAAGUGUGGGGAGCAAACA